rnacentral:rRNA from 1 species
AGAGUUUGAUCCUGGCUCAGAUUGAACGCUGGCGGCAUGCUUUACACAUGCAAGUCGGACGGCAGCACAGAGAAGCUUGCUUCUUGGGUGGCGAGUGGCGAACGGGUGAGUAAUAUAUCGGAACGUACCGAGUAAUGGGGGAUAACUAAUCGAAAGAUUAGCUAAUACCGCAUAUUCUCUGAGGAGGAAAGCAGGGGACCUUCGGGCCUUGCGUUAUUCGAGCGGCCGAUAUCUGAUUAACUAGUUGGUGGGGUAAAGGCCUACCAAGGCGACGAUCAGUGGCGGGUCUGAGAGGAUGAUCCGCCACACUGGGACUGAGACACGGCCCAGACUCCUACGGGAGGCAGCAGUGGGGAAUUUUGGACAAUGGGCGCAAGCCUGAUCCAGCCAUGCCGCGUGUCUGAAGAAGGCCUUCGGGUUGUAAAGGACUUUUGUCAGGGAAGAAAAGGCUGUUGCUAAUAUCGACAGCUGAUGACGGUACCUGAAGAAUAAGCACCGGCUAACUACGUGCCAGCAGCCGCGGUAAUACGUAGGGUGCGAGCGUUAAUCGGAAUUACUGGGCGUAAAGCGAGCGCAGACGGUUACUUAAGCAGGAUGUGAAAUCCCCGGGCUCAACCUGGGAACUGCGUUCUGAACUGGGUGACUAGAGUGUGUCAGAGGGAGGUAGAAUUCCACGUGUAGCAGUGAAAUGCGUAGAGAUGUGGAGGAAUACCGAUGGCGAAGGCAGCCUCCUGGGAUAACACUGACGUUCAUGCUCGAAAGCGUGGGUAGCAAACAGGAUUAGAUACCCUGGUAGUCCACGC